rnacentral:tRNA from 1 species
GGGCGCCUCCGCGCUCCCGCCUCCUCCUGGCAACCUGGUGCGCGGCUCCGGACCUGGCGACCCACGACCGGCUGGUCACUUGCUGCCACCUCGCAAAGGCGCAUCUCUAGUUCAGUGGUGAGCUGCGGCCCGGUCGCUGCAACUCGCUCCAGGCCUCCGGAUUCGUGGCCUCGGUGUCCCUCGCGGAGCCCUCGGUGUGUCGCUUGCAGGCUCUUUUUUUGAAGAAAGCAGGGAGGGAAUGGCCUUGUGAGAGACUCCAGGAGCAAAGAGCGACCCUCACAAGGCCCAAGUCCUCCCAGAGCUCAGGGAAGCUGUCGCUUCUGACAGAAGAAGGGAGACAAAGCUCCCUCCUGUGUGUCCCUGGUGGUCUAGUGGCUAGGAUUCGGCGCUUUCACCGCCGCGGCCCGGGUUCGAUUCCCGGCCAGGGAAUUGUUUUACACUGGCCGCCCUCCCGCAGGAAUCUUCCUUCACUACGCUGUCAGCCGGCCUGCUCCAAGGGCCAGAAGCAGAACAGUCUCCGCAGCGGGGUUAAAGCCGGGCGAAGGAGGGCAAGCGCUGGUGGACCACCUCUCACGACACACCGUUCCUGUUUAUCUCCGUGUCCGUCAUCCGCCGAAGCAGCUUUAGAGAGCGACUGAGCGUCUCGCUCCGGUGUACACAGCCCGGCAGAGAUGCCAGCCCCCGUGGAGCUGCACCCAAUAAGCCCACCUUCUUUCCCGUCGCCACCCCGGAGACGCCCAUCGGGCUGAGCUGCGAAUAACUAAGAGAGAGGCCAAGCCAAGUCGUGGCGUUUGUGGCAACCCCGGACACGGGCACCAGCCAGUCAGCGGAGCCUCCUCACCUCCGUUGCCAGCGAAGGCGCUCGUUAGGCCUUGGGAAGAGGCGACCGGAGGCGAUGCCCGCGAAUUUGUUAGGGGGGGGAGAGACCGUGGUCACGAAGGGGGUUCUCCCAGAGUGAAGCUUCUUCAUCGCACUCUAGAGUUGCUGAUCCCUGUGAUUUCCUCCAUGUGGGAAACGGUGUUUGUGCUAGAAGAGGCUGCGCUCUUUACCUGACAUAACGGGGUUCAAGACUGACAACGCCUCACGCCCACCCGAAAACGUUUACAUGGCUUCCUUGUCUCUUUUUUUUUCUGUCCUAAAGUCGCCUCAUCUUCACAUCCCCUCUUUUUUUUCUUCCACACUCGAGAGUGUCUCUCUCUCUCAGUAAAAGCUCCACCAAA